GACGAACCGUGCGAACGUUGCUCGGAAUCACUGGGCUUAAAGGGCGCGUAGGCGGGCUGUCAAGUCUGGGGUGAAAUGCCGCGGCUCAACCGUGGAACUGCCUUAGAUACUGACGGCCUCGAGGAAGGUAGGGGCAUGCGGAACUGUAGGUGGAGCGGUGAAAUGCGUUGAUAUCUACAGGAACUCCGGUGGCGAAAGCGGCGUGCUGGACCUUUUCUGACGCUGAGGCGCGAAAGCUAGGGGAGCAAACGGG
rnacentral:rRNA from 1 species